rnacentral:rRNA from 1 species
AGAGUUUGAUCCUGGCUCAGGACGAACGCUGGCGGCGUGCUUAACACAUGCAAGUCGAACGGAAAGGCCCUUCGGGGUACUCGAGUGGCGAACGGGUGAGUAACACGUGGGUGAUCUGCCCUGCACUUUGGGAUAAGCCUGGGAAACUGGGUCUAAUACCGAAUAGGACCGCGCUCUUCAUGGGGUGUGGUGGAAAGCUUUUGCGGUGUGGGAUGGGCCCGCGGCCUAUCAGCUUGUUGGUGGGGUAACGGCCUACCAAGGCGACGACGGGUAGCCGGCCUGAGAGGGUGACCGGCCACACUGGGACUGAGAUACGGCCCAGACUCCUACGGGAGGCAGCAGUGGGGAAUAUUGCACAAUGGGCGCAAGCCUGAUGCAGCGACGCCGCGUGAGGGAUGACGGCCUUCGGGUUGUAAACCUCUUUCAAUAGGGACGAAGCGCAAGUGACGGUACCUAUAGAAGAAGCACCGGCCAACUACGUGCCAGCAGCCGCGGUAAUACGUAGGGUGCGAGCGUUGUCCGGAAUUACUGGGCGUAAAGAGCUCGUAGGUGGUUUGUCGCGUUGUUCGUGAAAACUCACAGCUUAACUGUGGGCGUGCGGGCGAUACGGGCAGACUAGAGUACUGCAGGGGAGACUGGAAUUCCUGGUGUAGCGGUGGAAUGCGCAGAUAUCAGGAGGAACACCGGUGGCGAAGGCGGGUCUCUGGGCAGUAACUGACGCUGAGGAGCGAAAGCGUGGGGAGCGAACAGGAUUAGAUACCCUGGUAGUCC